GGAAACGGAAACAUCCAGACGGCACGCCUAGAGAAACUGGAUUCAGAGGUCAUUCUGAUUAUAAAGGUCGCCAUGUUUCUCGCCAUGGACGGUCCCGCUCUCGUUCGCACUCCCGCUCUCCUCGCCACGGUGGUCGUCAUAGAUCACGGUCACAUUCUCCUGCCCGAAGAAGGCAUGGCAACUACUCUGCUUCACCAAAGAGAAAGGAAGAGUGCCAGACAAAAUCAUCAGGACAGUCAAAAGAACAUGACAAGGGUAAGAAGCAGGGACUCUGUACUCCCCGUGACAGA